rnacentral:rRNA from 1 species
GACGAACCGUGCAAACGUUGUUCGGAAUCACUGGGCUUAAAGGGCGCGUAGGCGGCUUGCCAAGUCAGGGGUGAAAUCUUUCGGCUUAACCGGAAAAGUGCCUUUGAUACUGGCGAGCUAGAGCGAGGUAGGGGCAUGUGGAACUUCCGGUGGAGCGGUGAAAUGCGUUGAUAUCGGAAGGAACGCCGGUGGCGAAAGCGACGUGCUGGACCUCUUCUGACGAUGAGGCGCGAAAGCUAGGGGAGCAAACAGG